CAAGUCGAACGUGAAAGUUCUUCGGAAUGAGUAAAGUGGCGCACGGGUGAGUAAUACUUGGGUAAUGUACCCAAUCGCUGGGGAUAACUAGGCGAAAGCUUAGCUAAUACCGAAUGGUCCCGUCUUUUCUCCGGAUUAGAUGGGUAAAGCCGUAAGGCGCGAUUGGAGCAGCCCUCGUCCCAUUAGCUAGUUGGCGGGGUAAAGGCCCACCAAGGCUACGAUGGGUAGCUGGUCUUAGAGGAUGAUCAGCCACACUGGUACUGGAACACGGACCAGACUCCUACGGGAGGCAGCAGUUAGGAAUUUUGCGCAAUGGGCGAAAGCCUGACGCAGCAACGCCGCGUGAGGGAUGAAGGCCUUCGGGUUGUAAACCUCUUUUAGUAGGGAAGAAAAAAAUGACGGUACCUACAGAAAAAGCACCGGCUAACUCUGUGCCAGCAGCCGCGGUAAUACAGAGGGUGCAAGCGUUAUUCGGAAUCACUGGGCGUAAAGGGCGCGUAGGCUGUUUGAUAAGUUUGAUGUGAAAGCCCUGAACUCAGUUCAGGAAGUGCAUCGAAUACUGUCAGACUAGAGUAUAGGAGAGGAGAACGGAAUUCCUGGUGUAGAGGUAAAAUUCGUAGAUAUCAGGAGGAACAACAGUGGCGAAGGCGGUUCUCUGGACUAUAACUGACGCUGAGGCGCGAAAGUGUGGGGAUCAAACAGGAUUAGAUACCCUGGUAGUCCACACCGUAAACGAUGGAUACUAGAUGUCGGGGGUCUGUCCCCUCGGUAUCGUAGCUAACGUGUUAAGUAUCCCGCCUGGGAAGUACGGCCGCAAGGUUAAAACUCAAAGAAAUUGACGG
rnacentral:rRNA from 1 species